GAUGAACGCUGGCGGCGUGCCUAAUACAUGCAAGUCGAGCGAACAGAUGAGGAGCUUGCUCCUCUGACGUUAGCGGCGGACGGGUGAGUAACACGUGGAUAACCUACCUAUAAGACUGGGAUAACUUCGGGAAACCGGAGCUAAUACCGGAUAAUAUAUUGAACCGCAUGGUUCAAUAGUGAAAGACGGUUUUGCUGUCACCUAUAGAUGGAUCCGCGCCGCAUUAGUUAGUUGGUAAGGUAACGGCUUACCAAGGCAACGAUGCGUAGCCGACCUGAGAGGGUGAUCGGCCACACUGGAACUGAGACACGGUCCAGACUCCUACGGGAGGCAGCAGUAGGGAAUCUUCCGCAAUGGGCGAAAGCCUGACGGAGCAACGCCGCGUGAGUGAUGAAGGUCUUCGGAUCGUAAAACUCUGUUAUUAGGGAAGAACAAAUGUGUAAGUAACUAUGCACGUCUUGACGGUACCUAAUCAGAAAGCCACGGCUAACUACGUG
rnacentral:rRNA from 1 species